rnacentral:rRNA from 1 species
ACGUAGGGGGCGAGCGUUGUCCGGAAUCACUGGGCGUAAAGCGCACGUAGGCGGUGUGUCAAGUCGGCUGUGAAAGCCACCGGCUCAACCGGGGCACGUCAGUCGAUACUGGGAUGCUUGAGUGCCGGAGAGGGAGGCGGAAUUCCCGGUGUAGGAGUGAAAUCCGGAGAUCUCUGGAGGAACACCAGUGGCGAAGGCGGCCUCCUGGCCCGUAACUGACGCUGAGGUGCGAAAGCUGGGGGAGCAAACAG